rnacentral:tRNA from 1 species
GCUCUGAUGGUGGAAUCGGUAGACGCGGCAGACUCAAAAUCUGUUACCGAAAGGUGUGAGGGUUCAAGUCCCUCUUGGAGCACCA